UUCUUUUCUUUCACUACUUCCGCACAAGUAAAACCAUAGCAAUAUAAAGCACAAAUAAGAAAUCUAUAAGCAUUAACAAUCAAUCUCACCAUUACAACUCCAGGGAUAUCGAAAUAACAUCACAUUUGAUUUUCAAGUUAGAUUUGAGCCAACCAAUUAUCUUAUUCUUUUCUAUCACUACUUCUGCACAAGUAAAGCUAUAGCAAUAUAAAGCAUAAAUAAGAAAUCUAUAAGUAUUAACAAUCAAUCUCACCAUUCCAACUCCAGGGAUAUCGAAAUAUCAUCACUUUUGAUUUUCAAGUUAUAUUUGAGCUAACCAAUUAUCUUAUUCUUUUCUAUCACCACUUCCGUACAAGUAAACCAUAGCAAUAUAAAGCACAAAUAAGAAAUCUAUAAGGAUUAACAAUCAAUCUCACCAUUCCAUCUCCAGAGAUAUCGAAAUAACAUCACAUUUGAUUUUCAAGUUUGAUUUGAGCCAACCAAUUAUCUUAUUUUUUUCUAUCACUACUUCCGCACAAGUAAAACCAUAGCAAUAAACCAUAGCAAUAUAAAGCAAAAAUAAGAAAUCUAUAAGGAUUAACAAUCAAUCUCACCAUUCCAACUCCAGGGAUAUCGAAAUAACAUCAAAUUUGAUUUUCAGGUUAGAUUUUGAGCGAACCAAUUAUCUUAUUCUUUUCUAUCACUACUUCCGCACAAGUAAAAUCUUAGCAAUAUAAAGCAAAAAUAAGAAAUCUAUAAGUAUUAACAAUCAAUCUCACCAUUCCAACUCCAGGGAUAUCGAAAUAAUAUCAUAUUUGAUUUUCAGAUUAGAUUUGAGCCAACCAAUUAUCUUAUUCUUUUCUAUCACUGCUUCCGCACAAGUAAAACCAUAGCAAUAUAAAGCAA
rnacentral:lncRNA from 1 species